GGAAAUAUAAAUAUUUUGCCGCAGACAGCGGGCAUUUGUAAGUCCCGCCGAGGUAAACGUAAUUCCUUGUCAGACGGAAUUUAAUUUAUCGCGAUGCGGCCUUUCAAAGGUCGUUUUUAUUUUUAUUU
rfam:Parcubacteria (Azambacteria) bacterium GW2011_GWC1_46_13 TX33_C0009, whole genome shotgun sequence.